CUUAAAAGAAAAUCACAUGAGCUACUACAAUGUCUCCCCUUUGCUAUCUGGUGGCUAUGUUACAGAAUUCCUGUCAGAAAUCUCUGUAGAUGGGAGCCUAUCAUGGCUUUAUCUUCACUAGAUGGUGCCUUCACAGCAAGUGCAGCCUAAGGAUGAUGACUCAUCUUGGGACAGAUGUGAGAGUCCUGGACACAAAGAGCUAUUCCAGAAAAAAAGGGCAUGUGGAAUAUUCCUGGCAUAUGCUUCAUGGAACUCAUAGUCUGCUUCAGUGGUGGAUAAAUAAGGAAAAUAAAGUGGAACAGUGGGAAAGAAAAA